rnacentral:rRNA from 1 species
UACGUAGGGUGCGAGCGUUGUCCGGAAUUACUGGGCGUAAAGAGCUCGUAGGUGGUUUGUCGCGUUGUUCGUGAAAACUCACAGCUUAACUGUGGGCGUGCGGGCGAUACGGGCAGACUGGAGUACUGCAGGGGAGACUGGAAUUCCUGGUGUAGCGGUGGAAUGCGCAGAUAUCAGGAGGAACACCGGUGGCGAAGGCGGGUCUGCUGGGCCGUUGCUGACGCUGAGACACGAAAGCGUGGGGAGCAAACAGG